rnacentral:rRNA from 1 species
UACAGACGGGUGCAAGCGUUGUUCGGAAUUAUUGGGCGUAAAGCGCGUGUAGGCGGCUUUGCAAAGUCGGGUGUGAAAGCCCUCAGCUCAACUGAGGAAGUGCGCCCGAAACUGCAGAGCUUGAGUGCCGGAGAGGGUGGCGGAAUUCCCCAAGUAGAGGUGAAAUUCGUAGAUAUGGGGAGGAACACCGGUGGCGAAGGCGGCCACCUGGACGGUAACUGACGCGUGAGAAGCGGCGAA